rnacentral:rRNA from 1 species
AGUGAACGCUGGCGGUAGGCCUAACACAUGCAAGUCGAACGGCAGCACAGUAAGAGCUUGCUCUUACGGGUGGCGAGUGGCGGACGGGUGAGGAAUACAUCGGAAUCUACUUUUUCGUGGGGGAUAACGUAGGGAAACUUACGCUAAUACCGCAUACGACCUACGGGUGAAAGCAGGGGAUCUUCGGACCUUGCGCGAUUGUAUGAGCCGAUGUCGGAUUAGCUAGUUGGCGGGGUAAAGGCCCACCAAGGCGACGAUCCGUAGCUGGUCUGAGAGGAUGAUCAGCCACACUGGAACUGAGACACGGUCCAGACUCCUACGGGAGGCAGCAGUGGAGAAUAUUAGACAAUGGGCGCGAGCCUGAUCCAGCCAUACCGCGUGAGUGAAGAAGGCCUUCUGGUUGUAAAGCCCUUUUGUUGGGAAAGAAAAACAGCAGGUUAAUACCCCGCUGUUCUGACGGUACCCAAAGAAUAAGCACCGGCUAACUUCGUG